AUUGAACGCUGGCGGCAUGCUUUACACAUGCAAGUCGAACGGCAGCGCGGGCUUCGGCCCGGCGGCGAGUGGCGAACGGGUGAGUAAUGCAUCGGAACGUGCCCAGUAGUGGGGGAUAGCCCGGCGAAAGCCGGAUUAAUACCGCAUACGACCUGAGGGUGAAAGCGGGGGACCGAAAGGCCUCGCGCUAUUGGAGCGGCCGAUGUCGGAUUAGCUAGUUGGUGGGGUAAAGGCUUACCAAGGCGACGAUCCGUAGCUGGUCUGAGAGGACGACCAGCCACACUGAGACUGAGACACGGCCCAGACUCCUACGGGAGGCAGCAGUGGGGAAUUUUGGACAAUGGGGGCAACCCUGAUCCAGCCAUGCCGCGUGCGGGAAGAAGGCCUUCGGGUUGUAAACCGCUUUUGUUCGGGAAGAAAUCCUCUGGGCUAAUACCCCGGGGGGAUGACGGUACCGGAAGAAUAAGCACCGGCUAACUACGU
rnacentral:rRNA from 1 species